UGGAUGGGGAGUUGGGAUCGAGGUUGGGCUUUUUCAGAAUUGGGGUUACGGUUGCAUGUUUGAAGGCAGAGGGAAAUGUGCCAGAGGAAAGGGAGAGAUUGAAAAUGUUAGCGAGAGGAGACAAAGUGUGGAUGAGAUGCGAGGGAAUAGGAUCAAGGGAGCAGGUGGUGGGGCGGGAGGACAGGAGCAGAGCAGAAACCUUGUGCUGUAGCAGGUGCAAAUGAGCUUAGGAUGACAGGGGGAGUGGGGUUGGGUGAUGUAUUGAUACUGGUUGGAGAAAGAUUAGAGAUCUCUUUCCUGAUUGUAGAGAUCUUCUCAGUGAAAUGAGAUGCAAAGUUUGUGGCGGACAAGGUGGUGGAAGGAGGGG